UACGUAGGGUGCAAGCGUUAAUCGGAAUUACUGGGCGUAAAGCGUGCGCAGGCGGUUUUGUAAGUCAGAUGUGAAAUCCCCGGGCUUAACCUGGGAACUGCGUUUGAAACUACAAGGCUAGAGUGCGGCAGGGAGGGGGUGAAUUCCACGUGUAGCAGUGAAAUGCGUAGAGAUGCGGAGGAACACCGAUGGCGAAGGCAGCCCCCCUGGGCCAAUACUGACGCUCAGGCACGAAAGCGUGGGGAGCGAACAGG
rnacentral:rRNA from 1 species